CUACGUAGGUGACAAGCGUUAUCCGGAUUUACUGGGCGUAAAGGGCGUGUAGGCGGUCUUGCAAGUCAGAAGUGAAAUUCCUGAGCUCAACUCGGGCGCUGCUUCUGAAACUGCAGGACUUGAGUGCUGGAGGGGAUAGCGGAAUUCCUAGUGGAGCGGUAAAAUGCGCAGAUAUUAGGAAGAACACCGGUGGCGAAGGCGGCUAUCUGGACAGUAACUGACGCUGAGGCGCGAAAGCGUGGGGAGCAAACAGGAUUAGAUACCCUGGUAGUCCACACUGUAAACGAUGGGUACUAGGUGUGGGAGGUAUCGACUCCUUCCGUGCCGGAGUUAACGCAAUAAGUCCCCCGCCUGGGGAGUACGGCCGCAAGGCUUAAACUCAAAGGAAUUGACGGGG
rnacentral:rRNA from 1 species